rnacentral:snRNA from 1 species
AUCGCUUCUCGGCCUUUUGGCUAAGAUCAAGUGUAGUAUCGUUUUUAUCAGUUUAAUAUUGAUACGUCCUCUAUCCGAGGACAAUAUUUAAAUGGUUUUUUGGGAGCAGGGAGAUGGAAUAGGAGCUUGCUCCGUCCACUCCGCGCAUCGACCUGGUAUUGCAGUACCUCCAGGAACGGGCACCCCCU